rnacentral:sRNA from 1 species
UAGAUAUCAAUCAACGGAAUAGGUCUCAUCUCGCAACCAACUAAUCAAAAUUCAAUUUGCCAAAAAUUGAAAAGGCGUAGAUGGCAAGGCCAUGAUAACAGCGGAUAGAAAAGCCAAGCCAUUGGCAAUGACAGCGGCAGCCGUCAGUGUUCAUUUUUUGUUUCAUUAACUCAUUAAAAACAGCCCACAUCAUACAAAUGAGGCGCAAAAAUUGAAAUCAGAUGACAAAGGAGCAGCCGAUUCAGGACUAGUCACGAAAAUAGCAGUACGAAAGGUAAUUUCUCAUCAAGUCAAGCGUGCAAUGGCAGACAUCAGUCAUUCAGUCGGUUGGCAGCAUUGCCAUUUGAAAAGCAUACCCCAUCCCAUGGAUUGAAUCAAUUUUCAUUUUUGCCAUCGACAUUUUCCAUCUGAAGUGACAAUUGAGAAAUCGCCAGGCUUUAUGGGAAUUAUGAAAAACACAAAUCUUUGGGAUUUGCAAUGUUUGCAAACAAACGACACACGGCGGAAAUGUAGCGUCCUUUUUUAUGUUGCUGCCUGCUGCAAGGACUUAUGGAACAAAAAGGUCGUGGUGUAUUAGGUACGUGCUUAGUUUGUCAAAAAUGUUCAAUGGGAUUUAUUGGAACAACAUGAGAAUAAAGAGCAAAGUAAAUAUAGAAGAAGUACAAAUCAUGGAAGCUGACUGCUAUCAGUGGUAUCAACAUGGCAAUCAAAUGGAAGGUUUUAUUAUGGAAACAAAAAACCAGAGGCGUGUUUAUUGAAAUUGAAUUGUAAAUAUUUUUCAAUGCGAAUAAAAUUCCUCCUAUAUUG